UGGGGAAUUUUGCACAAUGGGGGAAACCCUGAUGCAGCGACGCCGCGUGAUUUAGAAGGCCUUCGGGUUGUAAAAAUCUUUUGUAUGGGAAGAAAAUGACAGUACCAUACGAAUAAUGACCGGCUAAUUACGUGCCAGCAGCCGCGGUAAUACGUAAGGUCCGAGCGUUGUCCGGAAUCAUUGGGCGUAAAGGGUACGUAGGCGGAUAAGCAAGUUAGAAGUGAAAGCCUAUAGCUCAACUAUAGUAAGCUUUUAAAACUGCUCAUCUUGAGGUAUGGAAGGGAAAGGGGAAUUCCUAGUGUAGCGGUGAAAUUGGCAGAUAUUAGGAGGAAUAACGGUGGCGAAGGCGACUUUCUGACCAUAUAAUGAAGCUGAGGUACGAAAGCGUGGGUAGCAAACAGG
rnacentral:rRNA from 1 species